AGGAACGAGCCCAUUGGCCAAUGUCCAGUGCGACAUUUCACCUGGAACCAGACUGGGAAGUGUGGCUUGUCCUAGGGAAGUGUGAGGUUAGCUUGGCAUCGCUGGGGCAGGUAAAGGAAUGCCCUCUGAAAACGCCGCAGGUAGCAAAGCCCAGUGAACCGUCCUUAAUUUCACUUCUUUAAAAGCGAAAAUAAGAUGGAAUUCAGCCUUUUCCGCCUUAGCAGGGCCCUUGAAGAAUUUGCUGGUUUUAAGACGUGAAAUGUUCCCUUAAGUCACUUUCUAGUAAUGGUCCCUUUGGACUCCCAAUAAUGAGAGAUGGCUCUAUUCUGCAGGAGGUUAAACCAAGAUUAGAGACGAAAAGUAACUCAUCAAAAGUCCAACACUUACUCAGAGGUUAAGCCCGGGAGAUUCUAAUUGCCCAUCAAAGACUGUUAACGUAAUAACGGACUUUCCAAUGUCUGAACCCAGUGAAAUCUAUUUGUGUUCCAUGUUGUGGGCCUGGGAACCACUAUGGCUCUUCCUCUCCGCCCAGUGACUCAGGGACCCAGGGCUUUCAGACAGGUGGCUUCACUGAGUGCCCUGGAGGCCUGCUGACCCUCCACAUUCAGCUGACAAUGGCAUGCAGGACCAACAGACAGGCAUAUCAGGAAGGCACGGGAGGAGCUAUUCACAGCUGGUCCCACCUACUGCCAAUCCGGAACCACAAGGCGAGAGAGGCUCACAAAUGCAGAACGGUGUGAACACCAUGCCUCUCGAAACCCGGGACCGCAUGCUCACUCUCUGUCCCCAUAUCUGUGCCGCCAACUCCGUCCACCUUUUUCAGGAAGAAUACCCAGAGAGGAAAACAAAAAGUACCUCAUAUCAACCAACAGAGCACUUCAAAGGUCUAUGAAAAAAAGACACUGUUCAUUUAUUUCUAAAGAAAGUCUACUUGCUGUCCAGGCUCACUUUCUUCCUUCCCUUUCUUCUAAAAAAAAAAAAAAAAAAAAAAAAAAAAAAAAAAAAAGGAUACCACAUCAUUCUGGAGCCACCAAGGGGGAGCAGGUCCACAGCCAGCCGUCCCCUCACUGGUGAUCACCACGAGCUAGGGACAGAAUAGAAAAGGCUGGAAACUGCGGACUCUGGAAAGGAAGCAGCCACAGGCAGACUGGCGGGAAGUCAGAACCUGACAAAUGCCCUAGCUGGUUUGGCUUAGUGGAUAGAGUGUCGACCUGCGGGCUGGGGAGUCCCUGGUCCAUUCUGGUCAGGGACACAUGCCCGGGUUGCGGGCUCGAUCCCCAUUGUGGGGCGUGCAGGAGGUAGCCGAUCUAUGAUUCUCUCUCAUCAUUGAUGUUUCUAUCUCUCUCCCUCUCCCUUCCUUUCUGAAAUCAAUAAAAAUAUAUAGAACCUGACAAAUGAGCAGCCUGGAGGUGAGCUGAUUGGUUUUCCCUCCUGAUCACAGCAGGACUGGAAUGACACAGAGAGGACUGGACAAAGGGCUGUCGGAGCCAGACUGGGGCACUGCCCGGGAACAUUCCCUCUUCUCUCCUGGCCCUGCACCUACCCUGAAGCUGCAACCAGAACAGGAAUUAAGCUCCUAAAAUGCCACGGAAAACUGGUUUCUGGCGAGGACCCACAGGGCCCAUUUUCCACAGUUUUGGGCGAAUCCUGAUUAUUUUUUCUCUUUUUUUUACUCUUUCCACUUUGCCCUGAUAACCACCCAGUUAUGUGAAGCUUCAACACAGCACAUGAGGGGAGAGGUAUCUCAGAUUCUGAGAGAAACCGGAACUUCUAACCUGAGGACCGGGGAAAGUGGCAGAGACUCAGGAGAAGAGGCACCUAUGGUGAGCUGGGCCUGCAGGGAGCACGCCCCGGACACCAGCGUGGGCUCUGUGCCACCUGGGCCGAGGUCACCCCCACAGAUGCUGAGACAGAACUGCAGUCUGAACUUACUAAUAAUGUUCUCACAGACGUAAACAGUGGUCUGACAACCUCAGCCUUUCAGUGCUGGGAAGACUGACUAUGAAACCCUGUCCAGUAAAGGCAGCACAUCAUCGCUAGCUUUAUACGAAGUUUGGAAGGAGAUAACAAAUUUGAACAGGCAGAGGUCAAGUGGAAGAAAGCCAGCGACCCGGAGUGUUUGCAGACCUGCCAUGCUCUGGCUUUUAGUUCCAAGAACAAGUUUAUUUCUUCAAAUAAAUCUAUUAUUUUUUUGCA